rnacentral:rRNA from 1 species
GACGAACGCUGGCGGCGUGCCUAAUACAUGCAAGUAGAACGCUGAAGGAGGAGCUUGCUUCUCUGGAUGAGUUGCGAACGGGUGAGUAACGCGUAGGUAACCUGCCUGGUAGCGGGGGAUAACUAUUGGAAACGAUAGCUAAUACCGCAUAAGAGUAGAUGUUGCAUGACAUUUGCUUAAAAGGUGCAAUUGCAUCACUACCAGAUGGACCUGCGUUGUAUUAGCUAGUUGGUGAGGUAACGGCUCACCAAGACGACGAUACAUAGCCGACCUGAGAGGGUGAUCGGCCACACUGGGACUGAGACACGGCCCAGACUCCUACGGGAGGCAGCAGUAGGGAAUCUUCGGCAAUGGACGGAAGUCUGACCGAGCAACGCCGCGUGAGUGAAGAAGGUUUUCGGAUCGUAAAGCUCUGUUGUAAGAGAAGAACGAGUGUGAGAGUGGAAAGUUCACACUGUGACGGUAUCUUACCAGAAAGGGACGGCUAACUACGUGCCAGCAGCCGCGGUAAUACGUGGGUCCCGAGCGUUGUCCGGAUUUAUUGGGCGUAAAGCGAGCGCAGGCGGUUAGAUAAGUCUGAAGUUAAAGGCUGUGGCUUAACCAUAGUACGCUUUGGAAACUGUUUAACUUGAGUGCAAGAGGGGAGAGUGGAAUUCCAUGUGUAGCGGUGAAAUGCGUAGAUAUAUGGAGGAACACCGGUGGCGAAAGCGGCUCUCUGGCUUGUAACUGACGCUGAGGCUCGAAAGCGUGGGGAGCAAACAGG